GUCAAUAUAACUCUGGUGGUUGAG
rnacentral:misc_RNA from 1 species